CCCGGCAUGCCUAGUACGGCGAGUGAAGCGGCAACAGCUCAAAUUUGAAAGCUGGCUCCGGCCCGCAUUGUAAUUUGCAGAGGAUGCUUCUGGUGAGGUGCCUUCCGAGUUCCCUGGAACGGGACGCCAUAGAGGGUGAGAGCCCCGUAUGGAUGGACACCAAACCUGUGUGAAGCUCCUUCAACGAGUCGAGUAGUUUGGGAAUGCUGCUCUAAAUGGGAGGUAAAUCUCUUCUAAAGCUAAAUACCGGCCAGAGACCGAUAGCGCACAAGUAGAGUGAUCGAAAGAUGAAAAGCACCUUGAAAAGGGGGUUAAACAGUACGUGAAAUUGUUGAAAGGGAAGCGCUUGUGACCAGACUUGCGCCGGGCAGCUCAUCAGGGGUUCUCCCCUGUGCACUCUGCCCGGCUCAGGCCAGCAUCGGUUCUCGUGGGAGGAUAAGAACGGUAGGAACGUGGCCCCCUUCCGGGGGGGGUGUUAUAGCCUACCGUACGAUACUCCCGUGGGGACCGAGGUUCGCGCUCCGCAAGGAUGCUGGCGUAAUGGUCAUCAGCGACCCGUCUUGACC
rnacentral:rRNA from 1 species